rnacentral:tRNA from 1 species
AUACUGGAAGUAUAUACUAUGUACAAUUGCCUUCCAAGCAAAAAGGCCCCCUGGGUCAGUAUA